GCUGACACAUCCCUGCCAAUCUCCGGCAGACCCUCCCUCCCAGACCCUCCACCUCCUGGACAGCAUCCAUGUUGAAGCUGCCUUCAACAUGGAUGCUGUCCAGGAAGUAGGAGGGUCUGGGAGGGAGGGUCUGCCGGAGAUUGGCAGGGAUGUGUCAG